UAUCUCUCCGUACGGGGAAGGAUGAGAAGCUUCGACUAAGGUUCGAUUCGAGCGAAAGCGAGAAAGCGUUGCCGCAGGCAACGACCCGAAGGGCGAAGCGCGCAGCGCUGAGUAAUCCUUCCCCCACCACCA
rnacentral:sRNA from 7 species